rnacentral:lncRNA from 1 species
GUCGUUGCUGUCAAAAAGCUUCACAGAUUCGAAGGAGAGAAUCCUAGUUACGACAUGUGCUUCAGGAAUGAAGCAAGGGUUCUCUCUGAGAUACGCCAUCGCCAUAUUGUCAAGCUUUUCGGUUAUUGCCUGCACAAGCGUAAUUGCAAAAACAUUUCUUUAACUUAAAAAGAGUAAUUUAUUGGUAAUAGCAAUACAUGUGUACACAACGACAUUAACACACAACACAUUCGACAAGCAAGACAUCGUUUUCUCAUUACCUUAGUCACAACAAUGAGGAUCACCCCCAUCUACGGCUCGACGACGAUCUUUCCGGUAGCAUGGCCGUCGAUGCUCUUCGCCCAGGCGGCUGCGGCUUCGCUCAACGGGUACUUGCAGUCGAUCACCGUCUUCAGCUUCCCCUGCUUCAUCAGCUCAGCGAGGAACUGCACAUUCUCCGCCUUGACAGAGUUGACGAACGGCACCAGUUGCUUCUUGGAGAACGUGAGCUUCUUCACGGCGAAAGUCCACAUGUGGCUCACCCCCGGCGUGAGCUCGAUCACCUUCCCGCUGGGGCUCAGGUUCGGCUCGAACACCGACCACGGGAAGGACGACGCGCACUGGAUCACCGCGUCGUACUUCUUGCCCGACGGGCUCUUGAGGGCCGCGCCCUCCGGGGUCUUGUAGUCGAGCACCUCGUCUGCCCCGAGGCUCCUCACGAGGUCGAUGUUGCGGGCCCCGCAAGUGGCGGUGACGUGCGCGUUCCCCAGCUUCGCGAGCUGGACGGCGAAGUGGCCGACACCGCCAGAGGCGGCGGUGACGAGGAUGUUCUUCUGGGGGCCGCUGCCGUCGAACUUGAGCCCAGCCGACGUGAGGGCCCCGUGAGCCGUGCAGCCGGCUAUGGGGAAGCUUGCUCCAUCAGCAGCUGAUACUUCAGGAGGCCUUGGAAACGUUACAUCUAUCUUAGCCACUGCAUAUUCUGCCAAACCACCUCCUGUCUGUUUCCAUCAAGAUUCAUGACCACAAUCAAAGAAAAUCCAUACAAAAGAUGCAAGAUAGAGCAAGAAACACCUCCAUCGAUCUAGAUCGAUGUAAAUCUUUAGUAAAUCCGCUAUUCUCACGAAAAGAAAUUUGCAGUGCCGGUCGACAUAUGGCCAAUUAUUUACAACCAUAAUCCAGCACAGAGCUAAACUCUGUCUCCAACAAUUACACCCAACUCGUUAAGUUUUUUAGGUGCAUUGCAGAGUCUUUUGGAAAAUCAAGCACCGCAAACAAUCAAAGGAUCUGCUACUGAGUAUAUAUUACUCCCUCCGUCCACUAAUUCAAGGCCUUCUUUUCUUUUUGGUCCGUCCACCAACUCAAAGCCUAUCUAUUUUUAGUAAAUUUUUAUUCAUAUUUUAAUUGGUGGGUCCCAAUAAACAAUACACUUUUUCUCCACUCAACUAAUAAAUAAUACAAUUUGUGGGUCUCUUUCUCCACUCAACCAAUAAACAAUACUCCCUCCAUCCCAAUAAUGAAGUCUCCUUUGUUUUGGGCACGGGUAUUUAGGAGAGGUAAAAUUGAUGUUAAAUGAGUAGGGACCACAUAAUUAGUGCUUUAAUUAGUGUUAUUUUAUUUCUUAAUUAAAUUGACUAAUCAAGUCUCUACGCCUCUCUCUCUGUACGUGAUUUCUGCGCCGUCGUUCGCCGGCUGUUUCAGCCGCCGGCGAGUCGCCGCCCUUAUUCCUUCUUAGGUCGGCAUCACUUCCCCCUUCCUCUUCACUGUCAUUCUCUCCAUUUCUCAAAAUCGAGCCCAAAUCUCUUCUCUCUCUUCUCGCCGUUCUCUCUUGCAAAACACACACACACAGAUAUCUGGCAGAACACACACACACAGAUCUCUCGCCGUUCUUCUCGCCGUUUCUCUUCUCUCUCUUCUCGCCGUUCUCUCUUGCAAAACUCACACACACAGAUCUUUGGCAGAACACACACAUACAUAAAUGCAUCCUCCACCACAAAAAUCAAAGAUACAUAAAAUUUUCAUCCCAAAAAUCAAAGAUGCAGAGUCCGGACGGACUGUAAGAGAGGCAGCAACGGUUCCGCCUGAAUCAGCAGAGAGCUAGGGCUCAUUCCGAAAGGGGGAAACUCGCCUGUGCAUUUCGGUGAGAGAGUAAGAGGUAGAGUGAGCGACGAUCUCGACGGUCUUUCUGAGAAGAGAGCAGACGACACGAGUCGGCCACUGCUCGCCGGAAAUCGAAAGCAGUAGCGAUGAUUUUGAUGAGAGCGUUAGGGCUCAUUUCGAAAGGGAAAACAAGGGCACGAUAUGAGAAAGGAAUUGGAAUUGAGAGAAAAGAGAGAGAGAAGAGCAGAUGUGGCGGGGAAGCAGCGCCGGUGACCGGCGUGACGGCGACCUCACCGGUCUUCCAGAUGCAGCGGCUUUCUCAAAGGGGAGAGAGGAAUUGAAGAGAGAGUGAGGAGAAUGAAGGCUGCGUGAAAGAAGAAGAGGAGAGAGAGAGAGUAAAUUGUUAAUUCAACUAAUUCUAUAUUAAUUUUUGCCAAAAAGGGAAAGGAAACUUGAAUAUUGGGACGGCCCAAAAAGGAAUAGGAGACUUGAAUAUUAGGACGGAGGGAGUAUAUUUUGUGGGUCUCUUUCUCCACUAAUCUAAUAAAAAUACACUUUUUCUUAAAAUUUGUGUUUUGCCUCUUAGAUCUUGAAUUAGAGGACGGAGGGAGUAUAAUUUUUAAUUAUAUUUUCUUCAAUUUUAAUUUAUUAUGCUUUAAUAUUAUAAAAAGAUAAUUACCAAGAAUUCACACAUCCAAUUAGGGUUUAUAAUUAUUUUUUAUAUUUAUUUGAAUUAACAAUUAAUUAUUUGGGUUCAUUAAUUCAAAGUUAGGGUAUAUAAUUUUUUAAAAUUUCAAUUUUGAUAAAUAUUAAUUAGAGUUCAUAAUAUAAUAAUAUUUUUUAUUUUUAUAAAAAAUAAUUCUAAAAUAAAUAAAUUAAGAGUGAUACACGGUGGUACACACAAAAUAGUGGGACAAAAGAUCCCAUCUGCCAGCACAUACGUCGGUCAAUAUUCAAUAAUGAGCUUUUCGAAAUGGAAAAACGUGUAUUAGAGUGUCUAGAAAAUCAAGUUGUGGAAUAGCUUGUAGUUUGGGUUGGAAAAUGAAUUUAAUGUAAUGGGGCUGUAAUAGCUAGUCACUACCCGAGUAGACUUCUAAGUCCAAGUCAAUUCAAUUAUUAAUAUACUCCACCUAAGUAUAAGAAUAUGGAGUAUGAAAGAAGAAGGAAUCAUAUCCUCACAAAUAAUAAAAAUGAUGGGUUUUGGGAUAAGUAGUCGCAUUUUGAUCAUGGCCAUAGUGUUGAUGAAAGCAGCAGAAGCAAGCAUGAGCAGAGAGAUGCAGGCAUUGAUGAAAUUUGGGUGGCCUCACAACUCCACAACUCAUCACUGCAAUUUGACUGGCAUUACUUGUGAUGAUGCUGCUCAUGUUGCGGCGAUGAGCCUCCAAGUUUGCUCUUAUCCUACUACUCUUCUUAGUUUAAACCAUUUUGAUGUGUUUGCUUUUCCACAUCUCACUAGAAUUCAUCUCACCUCAUGUUGCCUCAAUGGAACCAUCCCACCACAUAUAGGUUACCUCUCCAAACUAACUUAUCUCAAUUUGUCUCACAAUCCUCUAUAUGGUGAAUUGCCUGUGUCACUUGCAAAUCUCACUGAAUUGCAGAUACUUGACAUUUCUGAUAUUAUGGUCAUAUGUCUUAUGGCAUUUAUGGUGUCAUUCCGCCUGAGAUAGGAAGCUUAUCCAAACUAACUCAUCUCGAUUUGUCAUACAAUGAACUCAACAGUGAUCUGCCUCUCUCACUUGCAAAUCUCACUAACUUACAUGUGCUUGACCUUUCUUAUAACAGCAUUGUCGGUGUCAUUCCGCCUGAGAUAGGAAACUUAUCCAAACUAACUCAUCUCGAUUUGUCAUACAAUGGACUCAACAGUGAUCUGCCUUUCUCACUUUCAAAUCUCACUGAAUUGCAGAUACUUGACAUUUUCUCAUAGUCGUCAGUUUUAGACAUAAANGAUAGGUUACCUCUCCAAACUAUCUCAUCUCAAUUUGUCACACAAUCAACUGUACAGUGAAUUGCCUCUGUCACUUGCAAAUCUCACUAACUUACAGGUGCUUGACAUUUCUUAUAACGGUUACAAUUCUGGUGUCAUUCCGCCUGAGAUCGGAAGCUUAUCCAAACUAACUCAUCUCGAUUUGUCACACAAUGGACUCAACACUGAUCUGCCUCUCUCACUUGCAAAUCUCACUAACUUACAGCUGCUCGACCUUUCUCAUAAUAGAAUUGUCGGUGCCAUUCCGCCUGAGAUAGGAAGCUUAUCCAAACUAACUCAUCUCGAUUUGUCAGUCAAUAGACUCUACGGUGAUCUGCCUCUCUCACUUUCAAAUCUCACUAACUUACAGCUGCUUGACAUUUCUGAAAACAACAUUUCCAGUGCCAUUCCGUCGGGAAUAGGUUACCUCCAGCAAUUGAUUGUUCUUGAUUUGAGCCACAACAGCAUCAGUGGCUCUCUGCCCUCAACUAUGCGCCAAUUAACAAGAUUGGAAUUGUUGAAAUUGGACGGCAAUAUGUUGGUAGGUGUUUUUGAGGCAGGAAUACAAAUGCUUCCUUCAAUUAAAACAGUAGACCUCAGUAGGAAUACAAUCGAAGGAAGGAUACCUUUUGAGUUUGGAGAUGCUGCUAAUGCACCGUUCUUGAAUAUCGAUCUGUCUCAUAACCAUCUUUGUGGUAGAGUUCCCGAAUCUCUUUCGCAUUUGGAUGGAAUCGAUCUGUCCUACAAUCGUUUAGAAGGUCGAAUUCCACUAGACAUCUGGCGUAAAUUUCCAGAGGAAUCGUUCUUCGGAAAUUCAGAGUUACGUCAUUAUCCAAAUGAAGCCAAACAUCCUCGAAAUGCUGUUAUUGCUGUGGUGAUACUAUUUGGAUGUGUGUUUUUGUUUUCAUCAGGUUUGAUUCUAACCUUUUACUUAAGAAGGAAAGCAGCCUCUGCAGUCACACCUCAUGAUGACCAGAGACAUGGAGACAUAUUCAAGAUAUGGAACUUCGAUGGAAACAUCGCCCAUCAACACAUCAUCCAAGCAACAGCAGACUUCGAUUUCGGGUACUGCAUCGGAACUGGAGCUUACGGGAGCGUCUACAGAGCUCAACUGCCAACUGGAAAAGUCGUUGCUGUCAAAAAGCUUCACAGAUUCGAAGGAGAGAAUCCUAGUUACGACAUGUGUUUCAGGAAUGAGGCAAGGGUGCUCUCUGAGAUUCGCCAUCGCCAUAUUGUCAAGCUUUUCGGUUAUUGCCUGCACAAGCGGAGCAUGUUCCUCAUCUACGACUACAUGGAAAGAGGAAGCCUGUUUAGUGUGUUGAAGGACGAGAGCGAAGCCGUGGAGUUAGAUUGGAAGAAGAGGGUGAAUGUGGUGAAGGGCAUUGCAAAUGCAC